UACGUAGGGUGCAAGCGUUGUCCGGAAUUAUUGGGCGUAAAGAGCUCGUAGGCGGUUUGUCGCGUCUGCUGUGAAAACUCGGGGCUUAACCCCGGGCCUGCAGUGGGUACAGGCAGACUAGAGUGCGGUAGGGGAGACUGGAAUUCCUGGUGUAGCGGUGAAAUGCGCAGAUAUCAGGAAGAACACCCGUGGCGAAGGCGGCUCUCUGGGACGGUACUGACGCUGAGACGCGAAAGCGUGGGGAGCGAACAGG
rnacentral:rRNA from 1 species